GGAGGGAGAGAGGGGGAGGGAGGAAGGGAGGGAGGGAGAGAGGGAGAGAAGUCUGGCUCACCAGAACCCAUCUCCCAGGCUCUACAGUAAUGCCACAUAGCUGAAAGAGUGCAUCAAUCCGGGGGAGGAAAAGAAGGCUCCAGGCUGCAUGUCAAGUCUAUCAAAGCCAUCAGCUCACACCCGGGGCGCACAACUGGAUCACACAUGUGUGGUGGGGCUUCUGGAGACUGAAGUCCAAAGAGGUUGCGUGACCUUUGAAGAGUCACACAGCCAGCGCACUGAAGAAUGGGGACAAGUCCCUGCCACCAGAGUGAUGAAGGGAUCCCAAGAAAGACCUUGGGGCGAACAGGAGACAGCUGGAUGCAAAGGGCCCAGAUGCCAUGAAGGACCUGGAGGGAUUGUACAGACCAGAGGCUCAGUUCAUCGGUGGAUCACCUGCACUGGGUUCUGUUGGCACCACAAAAUUCAUAAAUAAAGGCCCAGAAGGAAGAGUAAAAACCACCAUCUAAUAUGAUGACCACGGUCACCACAACCCUCAAAACCCAGAGGGAUGGACAGUUCUAGACAAUAUGUCACCGGCACAAGCGGAAUACACACUCAGCAAACCAGCCAGGUCCUCAGCUAGGUCAGUCCUGGGAGCUCAAGCUGAGAGGUUUCGUGGGAAAGUCUUUUAUAUGAUGAGUGGCAUUAACAGAUUACACAAGAAAAGCCAUAUAAUCAUCUCAAAAUCAUUGUAAAAGCAUUUAAUGCACUCCAAACACAAAUUAAGACUCUGUUAAAAGCUCCCAGUAGGGCUCGGGGUGUAGCUCAGCUGCUAGAGUGCUUACGUAGCACGUACAGACUCUGGGA
rnacentral:lncRNA from 1 species